GUCUACAGCCAUGCUACCCUGAAUGUGCCUGAUCUCAGAAGCAAAGCAGGGUCAGGCCUGGUUAGUACUUGGAUGGGUAACCGCCUGGGAAUACUGGUUGCUGCAGGCU
rnacentral:rRNA from 1 species